rnacentral:rRNA from 1 species
UUCCAGACUCCUACGGGAGGCAGCAGUGGGGAAUAUUGCACAAUGGGGGAAACCCUGAUGCAGCGACGCCGCGUGAGUGAAGAAGUAUUUCGGUAUGUAAAGCUCUAUCAGCAGGGAAGAAAAUGACGGUACCUGAGUAAGAAGCCCCGGCUAACUACGUGCCAGCAGCCGCGGUAAUGCGUAGGGGGCAAGCGUUAUCCGGAUUUACUGGGUGUAAAGGGGGCGCAGACGGCGAUGCAAGCCAGGAGUGAAAGCCCGGGGCCCAACCCCGGGACUGCUCUUGGAACUGCGUGGCUGGAGUGCAGGAGGGGCAGGCGGAAUUCCUGGUGUAGCGGUGAAAUGCGUAGAUAUCAGGAGGAACACCGGUGGCGAAGGCGGCCUGCUGGACUGCAACUGACGUUGAGGCCCGAAAGCGUGGGGAGCAAACAGGAUUAGAUACCCGUGUAA